rnacentral:tmRNA from 1 species
GGGGGCGCAAACGGGAUUCGAUUCCCGAAAGCCGCUUCCUGUGGCAAGCCGAGGUUGCAGGCUGGCCUCGUUAAAAAGCCUGCGAACAACUAAGUGCCAACGAAGAAUUGGCUCUGGCAGCCUAAAGGAUCGCUGCCACGCCGUCUGGUUGUGGCCCGUUCCGGCCGGGUCGCCAGCGGCGCAGGUUUGUUGCCGGACACCAGGGGAAGAGGCCGCUCCUACCCCUGGUAGAACUCACGGGCGGCUCGAAGAGGGCCAAUGGGCUUGUGGCUUCCUGCCCGGCCGUCUUCGAAUCGGUUCCAAGAAGUCACUAAGCUUGUAGAAGCAGGAAAGGGGUCAUCGGGAAGACGAGGGUUCGACUCCCUCCGCCUCCAUGG